rnacentral:rRNA from 1 species
GUUUGUGGUCAAACCUCCUGUUAAAGCCUUAUCUCAUCAGAUCUCAAGCUAAGGAGGGCUGGGCAUGGUUAGUACUUGAAUGGGAGACUGCUAGGAAUGCCAGAUCUGUGCCAUAGUGG